GACGAACGCUGGCGGCGUGCUUAACACAUGCAAGUCGAACGGUGAAGCGCCUUCUUUUUUGGUGGGUGUGGAUGAGUGGCGAACGGGUGAGUAACACGUGAGUAACCUGCCCCCUUCUUCUGGAUAACCGCAUGAAAGUGUGGCUAAUACGGGAUAUUCUGGGUCUGUCGCAUGAUGGGUCUGGGAAAGAUAUUGUUUCGGUGGGGGAUGGGCUCGCGGCCUAUCAGCUUGUUGGUGGGGUGAUGGCCUACCAAGGCGGUGACGGGUAGCCGGUCUGAGAGGGUGGACGGUCACACUGGGACUGAGACACGGCCCAGACUCCUACGGGAGGCAGCAGUGGGGAAUAUUGCACAAUGGGCGCAAGCCUGAUGCAGCGACGCCGCGUGAGGGAUGGAGGCCUUCGGGUUGUGAACCUCUUUCGCCAGUGAAGCAGGCCUGCCUCGUUUGUGGGUGGGUUGACGGUAGCUGGAUAAGAAGCGCCGGCUAACUACGUG
rnacentral:rRNA from 1 species